GUUUUGAAUCGAUGAAGUUAUUCUUAAUAGAUUGGACCUCAUCAUUUCAGCAGCUAUUUAUAUUGUGUAUUAUCUUGUUCGUAUGCUAAGGAGACAAGUUAAUGCUCUAAUUCUCAAUUAAAGUACAUACGUUCUGAAUGCUCCUGGGGAUGGGAGCAAGAAGGAGAGUUAAACGUCGCAAUGGAGUCCAUGUUGGUUCUUGAUUUGUAUCUACAAGAGGAGUCAAAAUUAUAGUCCACAAUGAGUUGAGCAAAAUGCUGUGGGCUUACCAAAAUAAUAUCUGAACUAGUGACCUCAGAGGAGUAUUUUACUAUAAAGAAAAUGCAGGUCCAUCAUGCUAUCUAGUUAAUUCCUCUCUUCUUUUCUCCCUGAAUAGCGCAAGACACUGGGUGAGCUUUGCAUUUUGCAUGUGAUGCUGAUCUCUAGUCUGAUUGCUGCUUAAACAGGUCCGGGUAUCUGGGUUUGGAGGAUGGUUCCUUCUGAGGCUCUCGCUUCAUGAUCCUGUUCUUCCUCUUAACAUUGAAAGGCACGAACUCACGAUGACGCUGUAAAACUUGGACUUGCCGUGCUUCGGGCUGUUAAGGAGUUUGCAGCUUUGGAUACAUCCGCUUUAGACAAGUUUGUUCAAGUAUCAUGAGCCGAUGAUGCAGAGCGCUUUGGUACAAGUAUCUUUCGGCACAUUAUACUGGCAGUUAAAGUCGGCUUUGGCGUCUACCUCUGAUUCUGAGGAGGUUCAUUUUUUGGAUGGUUUUGGUCACAGGCACUCGAAAUACUAGUUGAUGGCUAUGUUUACUUUAGUUUUUACUUAUGUUCCAUGUAUGCUACAGAGAUGUUCUGAUAAAUAAGAAACGUUCUUCGACUACAGAAUUUGUCGGAGGGAUGUUUGA